UGAGGGCACCACACUGAAGGU
rnacentral:misc_RNA from 1 species